UCGCCACUGGCUCAUCAGGAAAGAGCAUCAACUUCUAAGUUGAGUGUACGAGGUUCGAGUCCUCGGUAGUGGUCCA
rnacentral:tRNA from 1 species